rnacentral:lncRNA from 1 species
CUCCCACCAUGUUAUUCAGCCUUCAGAUGGAAGGGACAGCCUUGAAGAUGCAUAAGUAAGCUAGAAAAUGUUUCUUCAGUAGAAAUUUCAGUAGAAACUUGGUAAAAUGAUCUCUUUACAACUUCCAUGAUUUUAUUCUCCAGGACAAUAUGGCAGGAUGGAAGCUGAGGACCAAAGCAGCUACAGGACUGACCUGCCCAAAACCACACAGUGAGUCUGCAGCCCGGCUUCGGACCAGAGUUUCUUCUGACAAGCGGCAAGCUCACUGAUGGCCACACCCGCUCAUCCUGGAUAACAGUAUUCCCCAGUGGAAUUAACACGAUGCAUCUUCCUGGAGUAUCAUUUUUACUUUAAGAUUUAAAAGCAAGCAAGCAAAUUAAAUAGUCAUUUAAAUCAUAUUUAUAUUAAGCCUAACAUGGCCAUAUUGUAGAGCAAACCAUCGGGAUUUAAUAAACAAAACAGGAAACUUCAAAGAAUGCUUUUUCUUGGAAAGAAGGCAGGAGAGCAAGAAAAGCGACUGCCUCAGCCUUUAUCACUCUCCAGACCAGUGCCAAGGAGCCAAAGAGAAGAAAUGAGAAUAACCAAGGUAUGCUGUGUCCAAUUAAUUAACUAUUAGCAAACAAAGGACCAAACAAUGUGACUGUAAGCUUCAUGACAGCAGGGAGUUUGUAUAUCUUUUCACCUGUGUAUCGGCAGUACCUAGCACCAUACCUGGCACAUUGUAGAUAAUAUAUAUUUGUGGAAUAAAUGAAUGAAUGAAC